UUUUGGGUGACCACCUGGCUUGGAAGUGUUUGUGAUUAAGAGGAUGACUGGUAAUUCUGAGAGUUGAUCCUGGAUUGUUGCUUGAAAAAGACAUAUAAAAAAGUAAUUAUGGAGUUUUGUGCUUUCAGAUAUAUGUCCUUAUUCUUACUCGACACUCAAAAGAAUUUUUCAUUACAUGGCUUCUGGUUAGAAAAUUGACUUUCAGCUGAUAAGAAACUCCCUGCUUUCAUGAUGGAAAUAGUAUAAGUUAACACAGAUAUUGUGUCAAGUGCAGUAUUUUCCAUGUACACUCCUGGAAUUCUGAAUGUGAACAGAGAGUGUAAGUCUCAUUUACAUUCUGUGAAGUUUCUACCCUCUCAGGUUGGUCUGUGUGCUUUUGAUCCUUAGUUGGAUGAAUUAGAAAUAUAUCAUAAUUCUGAGCAGUGACAUAAUGUGGGAAGCUUGGGGUUUUGAAACAACAUAUUGCAGAAAGAGGAAGCAAUGAGAAUCCUUUUUUCCCCUUUUAUCUCCUACACAGAGUCAUAGCUCCUUGAAGAGAAAGAAAGUCAUGAACCUCAGACGGACAGGAAUAAUUCAUGCACAUCCUCCAAGACUGUUGAAGGCCCAGAGGGCAGAGCUGCAGCCCUGUGCAGCAGGCUGGGGAGGGAGGCAGAGUCUUAGUUUCAGUCCAGGGGAAGAAUGCUCAGUCUGUACAGAGAGGUCGACAGUUUCCCUGUUCGUUUCAAGAAGGAUGAAUGUACCUGCAAGAAGAAUUGAGCCCGGAUCUGCUGACUGUCUUUUACAUGCUCCCAGACUGUGUGUGUGACACACAGCAUCUUUUCCCUUGUGUGAGGCUCAUUCUGGUAAUCUGACUUCAGGGAGUGAGGUCUAGUGCAAGAACCUCUGCCUGGCAGGUAUUUGUCACCACUCCGCUCAUGUCCAGGAUCAUCAGACAAGCAACUUCAGCUGCCACAUGGGCUACAGUGCUUGGCCGGCUGGGCCAAAGACCCUGCCUUUUGCUCUAUGAUUUCUUCAUGUGGCUCUUCUUUAAACUCAGCAUUCCUGAGCUCUGCUUAUGGCCAGUACUUUUUACUUAUAUGACCAUGUGGUGUUGAAGAACAUCUCAUCUGCUGCUUGGGAAGAGAGUUGUAUUUAUGCCUCGAGGGAGGCCUGCCUCAGGAUACAAACAUUUUGUCACUUGGGGGUCCCUUCAGCUUCACCAUCACAUACUGUCCUCCUUGCUUCAUGACAUCACGUACAGCCAGUGCUCAGAGCUGUCCAAGGAUGGCUUUGGGUGCCCAGUGAAAAAAGGCAGAUCCUAACUUGAGCAGAGUAUAUUUAUUAAGCUUGCAAAUCCCAAAUAGCCUUGAAAUGAAGUUUCCUGAAGCCAUUCAAAACUGAAGUAGACAGAAUUCCUUCCCAUUGUGUGCCUGAAUUUAAAAAACAAAACAAACAAACAAACUGAAAAAAAGUCCAAACCAAACCUACCCAACAUACAAAGUUGGGGGUAGAAAAAUUAACCCUGGGAAAAUCUGGAAAAGCCUAAGAUUAUACAAGACAUUCAUCCUCACACCGAUUUUCUUUUUCUUUUUUCUUUUCUUUUUUCUUUUUUUUUUUUUGGGGGGGUACAAUCCUGUGUUGUGCUCAAAACAAAAAUCCGAGAAUACUUCUUAAAGAGGAAAACAAAGCUCAGGCCCAGCCAUACAUCUGUGAGUUUUGAAACAAAGGUUUGUUUGUGUGCCUCAUCCACCCUCACCCAUGAAAGCAGACCCUUACUUGAAAAACUUUCCAGGGAAACACUCUAAACCAACAUCCUGGUAUAAAUUUGCAAAACGCAAUACAGGCCUGAUUGUUUUUGGAGUGGAUGCAGGCCGCAUACGAAUAGCUCUUUCUGAAACGUAAUGUUCUUUGCACGGCUCAGUGGCUAAUGUACAAUAAAUCAACAAAAGAGCGCUUCAAUAAAGCUAUUGGGCAGCAGCAAGGCCACUGUUAUUUUAUCUUUUUACAGUAUUUAAUUGGAAGGUUUUUCCUGAAACUUUAGCCAGCCUUCAAAUUACUAGACUCCAUAGAAGAAGAGAUUGAUAAGAGAAAUUUUUUUUCCAGGAUUUUUUCCUUACAAGAGAGCAAGUUUUUGCAGAGGGAGAAUAAAGUUACAAGUGUCUAGCAUUUUGCUGAGAGAGAAUGAAAUCAGAUGCUGAAUGGAGCGGAUAGGAAAGGCUGGGAAAAUGCGGAGCUGGCAGAACUGCCAGGUCAGUGCAGAGCCCCACUGUCCUGCUCCCUGCACCAGGUGUCCGGCAUUCAAAUGACACUAUUAUUCAUAGACGGAGCAGAGUAUUAAACUCCCCCCCAAAAAUCAUUUGCAACUGAAUAAAGAUAUAAUCCUGGAAAUAUAACUCUCCAUUAAGGGUCCCCAUCAGCGACACAAGAGCCCCAUUGUACAGGAGUUAUGUAUAUUUAUCAAGUAAAAAAAAAACUUGUCUUAGUGCUUACAUGUUAAUAGAAAACUUUUAUAGCCCUGGUCUCAGAACUAGUUAUGCAUAAAAUGUAAAGCAUCUAUUAUUCUUUGGCAAACUCUUUAACAUUUGACAGUGAAUUGCUAAUACAUGAAUAGUCUCUGGCACAGGGAUGCAUAGCGUCUUCCUGGCUGGCUAGAGGCUGGCUUGAAGUGGGUGAGAUGUGAGGCCUCAUAUUUUAAGUUGGUCCUUCGAUGGAGUGCGUUUUUUUUCUAAGAGCUCUGCUACCUUUUCCUGGCUGCUGCUGACUAUGACGGGUGGUGCGCAGGUGAGUAGCCCAUUCAGAACAUCCCUGGGCAGGUGUGGUCAUCCCUUUUCCCUUCCUGUCCCUCUGCAGAGGGCUGGGCUACAUGGGCCUGUGCAGGAGAGUGCCUCUGGACCCACAUUCUCAGGAAGGGGCCCCUGGGGUCAGCCUGCGCAGCGCUGCUGCCUGUCCUGCUUCAUCCCCUGAAGCUGCAGAGCUGCAUCAAAAGCCACCCUGUGAAGAGAGCAAACCCAGGGUGGUGUGGACCUGGGGGACAGCUACAAAUGCCAGAAAGUAACCAUUUCCCUGUGUUCCUCAAGGAGCACCCUUCUCUUUCACAGGCUUCUCUCACUUUUUGCACUAACGUAAUAAUCAGCAAAGCUGUGUCAAGAUGUGAACAUGCAUCCUGUAGCUACGGCCCACCUUGCCACUGUGCUCAAAGCAUCUGGUGUAGAGUUUGGGGCUUGUGCCAUAACUUCUGAGUUCCACUCCCUCCUGGAGACUUGCAGCUGAGGGCAGUGUGCCUGGAGGGGGCUGGUCUGCUAGUGUCAUGCUGCCCUCUUUCAAAGAAAGGAGCUUGGGUGCCAGAGGUAGACAAAGAGCCUCCCCUGGGCUGGGACCUAGAGAAUAGCCGGAUUGGCCCAGGCACCUCAAAAUGCCCUUCCUGAGUAUCUUUGUGGGGAACCACUACACCCCGAUCUGUUCUUCCCAUUCUCACUGUUUCUCUGGCAUCCUGCUGACAACUUGUCUCCGGAUUCUUAUGCUGCACUCCUACCCUCCAGUGCCUGUGAGUAUGAUCUCAGAGGAAGCAGAGUCUUAACACAUGAUGAAGAGGUCAGUGGUGGGCCUUAAUCCAGCAUGGUGGUGUCCUUAGGAGGAGGGAAGUUUGGAGAUGGGGACAAGUAUGGGUGGGGGACAGGAGGCCAGGAGGCAGGCCUGUGCAGGGGAGGGGAGACUUUCCUUGCUCUUCUGGAAUACCUGGCGGGGCCUGAAAAUGAAGACUUCUCUACCACUUUCACUUGAAUGAUUCUCACAAACGGUUUAAGAGGUGGAUGUGGCUUUGUCAGAGGACUUGGAUCCCUGAACUGCAGCUUCCUGAUCAUAUAAGGUGUACGCAGCCAUGGUACUCACGUUGGGCACCAGAAUCUAUGAAGUAGGAAAUGGUAUGGGGGUCCUUGACUGCAUCUCAAAAUUAAACUAAAAAUGAUGGUGAAGAGGAGAAAGCAUGCAAAUUUUCCAUGGCAACAGGGCCUUUAUGGGGAUUGAAGACCCAAAGAAGUGGGUGGGAGAAGGGAUAGUCCUGGUGAAGUAAGACUGGAUAAAAAUUAUGCUUGAAUGGCAACUAACAGCCCUGUGAUUUGUCUUCCUUGUGUUCCUGUGUCUUCAGAGAUGAGGCUGUGCCUUUCUUCGGGCUAGGAAAGUGGUCUUCACAGGAAAGUCAUGCGACUAGCUUCAGGACAUCACAAAGUCCAACCUAAGUCCCAGUGUGAGCUCUAUAACAGCAGCCUUGGGGAACCUGUGCAUCUUCCAUGAGGUCAGGAACCCAGCUCAGGGAUGUGUGUGUGUCCAUCUCCACAGCAGGAUGUAGCGGGCAUCAGAAUGCAGAGCUCCCCAUAGGGAAUGACCUUGUUGGAGAUGGAAGCAACCUUGCUCUGCUGAAUAUACCCUGGCCUUGCCAGACAUGGCCUUGUUGUGCACAUCCUUUCCUGUACAGGGCAAGGAAACAUGACUGAUCACUCCUGCAAAUCCUCUCUUCCUCACUACCUGUCCACACACACACACACACACACACACACACACACACACACACAAAACCAAAAAAAAAAAACACACCUCACAGAGCCCCCUCAGUUGAAGUGGCUAUUCUUUCUCUUUAAUAUAUUUGCCAUAGAAACUACCUGGAAUAUGUUGUCACCAGUCCAAUGAAAAGCCAUAUAUAAUGAAGUUAAUCCCAGUGCUGGGGGCUGGGGAUUUAGCUCAGCGACAAAGCGCCUGCCUGGCAAGCACAAGGUCGUGAGUUCGGUUCCUGGUACCGGAGAAAAAC
rnacentral:lncRNA from 1 species